rnacentral:rRNA from 1 species
GACGAACGCUGGCGGCGGGCUUAACACAUGCAAGUCGAACGGAAAGGCCCUGCUUUUGUGGGGUGCUCGAGUGGCGAACGGGUGAGUAACACGUGAGUAACCUGCCCUUGACUUUGGGAUAACUUCAGGAAACUGGGGCUAAUACCGGAUAGGAGCUCCUGCUGCAUGGUGGGGGUUGGAAAGUUUCGGCGGUUGGGGAUGGACUCGCGGCUUAUCAGCUUGUUGGUGGGGUAGUGGCUUACCAAUGCUUUGACGGGUAGCCGGCCUGAGUGGGUGGCCGGACCCGUUGGGACAGAAGUACGGACCAGACUAGAAGAGGAGGAAGCAGUGGGAAGUCGUGCACAAUGAGCGGAAGCCUGAUGCAGAAACGCCGCGAGCGGGAUGACGGCCUUCGGGUUGUAAACCGCUUUCGCCUGUGACGAAGCGUGUGUGACGGUAACGGGUAAAUAAGCACCGGCUAACUACGUG